UCCUUCAUGAUUUAUGUGGGAAAACAAGCGGAGCUACUCGAGCAAGACGGUAGAUCUUAGUUCAAGAAAGAUCAUCUUGGAGGCGUCAUUGAUACUUAUACAGAGGCAAUUACCCUAUGACCAAAUGUUCCUGUGUAUUGGACGAAUCGUGAAAUGAUUGAUUCGAGAGCAGAAUGAAUGGGUAAAAGUCGAGGAAGAUUGCCGGAGAGCUAUUCAGCUUGACAACUCUUUCUGUUAAGAGAGACAUUGAAAAUUUGACAGGCUCACUAUAUGUUGGGACUUGCAUUGCUACAGAGACAAGAAUCUGUUGGAGUCAAAAAGCUGCAGAAGGCUGCGUUUGGUGGCUGAUGGGAGGGUUCUUAGUCUUAGCUGGAAAUAUGGGUAGCUGGACCAGUACUUGCUUGUAUGUUAUGUGAUUUGAGCCAUUGACUGCAGGCACAACCAUGUACUGAUGACAUCAAGAAGUUCCAGUUUCAAGGAUAAAUUAGUUUUUUUUUUUUUUUUU